CGCUAUCACUCCUACUGGAGGCAGCAGUAGGGAAUCUUCCACAAUGGGCGCAAGCCUGAUGGAGCAACACCGCGUGAGUGAAGAAGGGUUUCGGCUCGUAAAGCUCUGUUGUUAAAGAAGAACACGUAUGAGAGUAACUGUUCAUACGUUGACGGUAUUUAACCAGAAAGUCACGGCUAACUACGUGCCAGCAGCCGCGGUAAUACGUAGGUGGCAAGCGUUAUCCGGAUUUAUUGGGCGUAAAGAGAGUGCAGGCGGUUUUCUAAGUCUGAUGUGAAAGCCUUCGGCUUAACCGGAGAAGUGCAUCGGAAACUGGAUAACUUGAGUGCAGAAGAGGGUAGUGGAACUCCAUGUGUAGCGGUGGAAUGCGUAGAUAUAUGGAAGAACACCAGUGGCGAAGGCGGCUACCUGGUCUGCAACUGACGCUGAGACUCGAAAGCAUGGGUAGCGAACAGGAUUAGAUACCCUGGUAG
rnacentral:rRNA from 1 species